UUUCCAAUCGACCCUCGGCUCAGUGAAGUAAAGGAACAACAAAAACAAAAACAACAAAAUAGCAUUAGUAACUUCAACGUAAAUAGCGUAAUAAUUAUCUAAACAUAAAAACCUAAAAAUAAAAAACAUAAAAACUAUAAAUAAAAUAGCAUGCAAUAAUAUCAGACAGUAACUAGCAUAAGACAAAAUCCAAUACACAAAUCAUCUAUGAAUACCCCUGCCAAGCCUCACCCAACCCCCCGGGUGAGGAGUGUGGAGAACUCUAGGGGCCCCUAUCCCACAACCCUUAUACUAGACCUCCAUACUUUCCUAUUCAGGGUCAUGUCCGCAGAAACCCGCAUUCUAGCCAUGUCAUGCAUAAUCACCUCUCCCUAAUACCUCUU
rnacentral:lncRNA from 1 species